rnacentral:rRNA from 1 species
CUACGGGGGGCAGCAGUGGGGAAUAUUGGACAAUGGGGGAAACCCUGAUCCAGCAAUGCCGCGUGUGUGAAGAAGGCCUGCGGGUUGUAAAGCACUUUCGGUUGGGAGGACUGCUUCUAGCACUAAUAUUGUUGGAAGUUGACGUUACCUUCAGAAGAAGCACCGGCUAACUCCGUGCCAGCAGCCGCGGUAAUACGGGAGGGUGCAAGCGUGAAUCGGAAUUACUGGGCGUAAAGCGCGCGUAGGCGGCUAGAUCAGUCGGGUGUGAAAGCCCCGGGCUUAACCUGGGAACUGCAUCCGAUAAGGUCUAGCUUGAGGACAGGAGAGGAGAGUGGAAUUCCACAUGUAGCGGUGAAAUGCGUAGAUAUGUGGAGGAACACCAAUGGCGAAGGCAGCUCUCUGGCCUGAUACUGACGCUGAGGUGCGAAAGCGUGGGGAGCAAACAGGAUUAGAUACCCUCGUAGUC